rnacentral:rRNA from 1 species
GGCCCUGGACAUGGUCCGGGCUAGCUACAGAGAUGUAGUGUUCCCUUCGGGGAACGCGGAACACAGGUGCUGCAUGGCUGUCGUCAGCUCGUGUCGUGAGAUGUUGGGUUAAGUCCCGCAACGAGCGCAACCCUCGCCCUUAGUUGCCAGCAUUCAGUUGGGCACUCUAAGGGGACUGCCGGUGAUAAGCCGAGAGGAAGGUGGGGAUGACGUCAAGUCCUCAUGGCCCUUACGGGCUGGGCUACACACGUGCUACAAUGGUGGUGACAGUGGGCAGCGAAGGAGCGAUCCCGAGCUAAUCUCCAAAAGCCAUCUCAGUUCGGAUUGCACUCUGCAACUCGAGUGCAUGAAGUUGGAUCGCUAGUAAUCGCGGAUCAGCACGCCGCGGUGAAUACGUUCCCGGUUGUGUACACACCGA